rnacentral:rRNA from 1 species
GUGGGGAAUAUUGGGCAAUGGGCGAAAGCCUGACCCAGCAACGCCGCGUGAAGGAAGAAGGUUUUCGGAUCGUAAACUUCUAUCCUUGGUGAAGAUAAUGACGGUAGCCAAGAAGGAAGCCCCGGCUAACUACGUGCCAGCAGCCGCGGUAAUACGUAGGGGGCAAGCGUUGUCCGGAAUGAUUGGGCGUAAAGGGCGCGUAGGCGGCCUGGUAAGUCUGGAGUGAAAGUCCUGCUUUUAAGGUGGGAAUUGCUUUGGAUACUGUCGGGCUUGAGUGCAGGAGAGGUAAGUGGAAUUCCCGGUGUAGCGGUGAAAUGCGUAGAGAUCGGGAGGAACACCAGUGGCGAAGGCGACUUACUGGACUGCAACUGACGCUGAGGCGCGAAAGUGUGGGGAGCAAACAGGAUUAGAAACCCGUGUAGUCC